UACGGGGGGGCAAGCGUUGUCCGGAAUUAUUGGGCGUAAAGAGCUCGUAGGCGGCUUGUCACGUCGACUGUGAAAACCCGGGGCUCAACUCCGGGCCUGCAGUCGAUACGGGCUGGCUUGAGUGCGGUAGGGGAGACUGGAAUUCCUGGUGUAGCGGUGAAAUGCGCAGAUAUCAGGAGGAACACCGGUGGCGAAGGCGGGUCUCUGGGCCUGUCCUGACGCUGGAGGAGCGAAAGCGUGGGGAGCAAACAGG
rnacentral:rRNA from 1 species